CUGACCGCACCCCUCGCCCCCUCCCAGCUGCCCAGCCCUCCCAGCCAUGUGGCGCCCGCUGGUCCUGCCGCCCCUGCUGCUGCUGCUCCCCUGCGCACCCGCCCCCACUGCCAGUCCCAUCCAGGCCGCCAAACCCCAGGACGGCCUGCAGAGCCUACUCCAAGGUUGCCGUCGCCUCUUGUUGGGGUUUGGGGAGAGGAGGAGGAGAGAGAGGAGGGGCGGGGGCAGACAGCAAGAGAGGAAGUCAGAGAGACAGACAGGGAUAUAGGGAGGGGCCCGAGGAACCCAGACAGAGGUACAGCAGGACAGACGAGGGGCAGGAAUAAGGAGAUGGUGGAUGGAAUAGGGACAGGGCAGAGGGAUAGGGACCCAGAUAAGAACAGGGGACAAGAUUGGGGGGUGGACUGGCUCGGCCCUGAGGGUCAGAGCAUCGUGGAAGAGGGUGGAGAGGAAAGGGGGUGGGAGGGACAUGGGGCCCGGCCCGAAGAGGCAUCCAACACUCAGACCACUUUCUGCGAGCCCUCGUGGCACCGGCUGUGGGACAGGGACAGCUGCCUCUCUGCCCCGUGGACCUCAGUGCCUCCCCAGGACUGCCACUGCGCAGAGGACCAGGAGUGCUGGCUGGAGAACAGCACCCCUUCUAGCCAGCACCAGGAAGCCCGUCGCGGAGCCCAACUUGUUCCUCUUCACCAGGUGCCCAAGCUGGAGGAGACGCAGAGCUGGUGGCACUGGCAAAUCCGGCCCCUCACUCUGGCGGUCCUCCCAGGUCGUGAGGUGACUGCCCUGGCGGUGCAGCCAGCAGCCUGGGAGGCAGGCCUGCAGCUCCUUCAGAAGCAUCCAUGGCCACCAGCCUUCUGCGACAGGCUCCUUAAGGGGGCCCUCCUGGCACGGGGACCUGAGGCCUCCCCCGCCCCAAAGGGCCCGCCCCAAGACCCACUUGUUGUCCCUUUCCGGGCUCAGCAGCAGCCGCAGGGGCCGGGGGUGGACAUCAGAGCCCUGGCAGGGGACAGACGUGCACCCUCCCCAGACCCCACCCCAGCGCCACUGAGAAAUCAAGUUCUUUCUCUCAGCCAUCUGCGCUGCUUCCUCUCGGGACCUGUCCCCAGCACCCGGCCGACUGAAACGAUUUCUUUGCUUUUACAAGCUCCUGAGGCAGGAACCGGUCCUGCUUCCUGCUGUGUUGCCUGAUGCUUACCAGAGAGCGUGGCUCACGCUUAGUUCUCAAAAACAGUUCGUUGUGGAGAAUUGAGUUGAGUUGAGUCCACGGCUGACUGGAGGGACGCCCUCUCUGACGCCCUAGCGCCAGGCUUCCACGUCAGUAUUUCCUAAAACGGUGAUCACGUGAGACUGUUUAAAGAUGCUACAGUCCUGUCAUCCUAAUGCUGAAAAUUGAAGAUAGCACUCACAUGGAUGGUCUGGUUUUGAUCUGCUGCAAGACUGAUUUGCUGACAAAGGCAUCUCAAAAGGUUCAUUCAUGGUGGAGCCGCCACUCCUGAGGACCUCACCCAGAAUGGAGCUCGCCUGGGGGAAAAAUCCACAAGCCACCCCUACAGAGGCCAGAGCACGGGGCCUGUGUCCAGAGGGAGAAGCAGGUCGCUAGUGUCAGAUGCUAAUGGAUGACUGACUUACAAUCCUUUCUGUCCAGAUGACGGGUUCUAGCCUUUAUGGUUGCGAAGAAACCUGCGUAGGCUCUUACUGCCAUGUGUGCAUGCUCAAGAGGAAGGGGGAGCAGGUUUGGGGUUCACUCAGGAGGAGGGAAACUGCUUUCCGUAAGGAUGAGUGUGGUCCCCGAAGGUGGUAAAGCCAGCAGGGCAGUGGGGCAGUGGUGUGACGGUGAGUGCCAACAACCGGCUCUCUGAGUGAACACAAAGCCCUCAAUGAUAGCAUUUGCCAAUUUCUAUGGUGUCAAUAAGCCUGCUCUGGUCCAUCUAAAGCUACCAAUGUGAUGUGAACCGGCUCACAAAAUCCUUGAAAAGUCAAGAACUGGCUCUCAGGAGCCAGUAGGAGCCACACCUCCAGCCCUCCAUCUUCACAGACGGUGCCGUCUUCUGCUUCUCAUCUCCUCAGACCGUUUGGAACCGACAUCAUCCAGGCCUUCCUGCAAAGACCUGGGGCAGGUGGGAAAGGAUGCUGCAGCCACGGCCAGUGGGUGGAAGGGCUGUUCUGGUGAGAAAAAGCUGACAGGCCUGACGUCUGAAGUUCUGCAGAAGGCAGAUAAAGGACAGAAUCAUAAUUUCACAAUCAUCUGCCUUGAGUCUUAGAAGGCACACUUUAGAGCAGUAAUCGCGAGAGAUCCUGAUAUGGGUCGUUGUGGGUCAAAGCUUCUGUGGAAGGAAAUUGGCGCAGCUGGUCUGGUCUCCUGAAGCUUCUCAUAGAUUUCAGAAAAGGGUCCCCGGGGGUCUGGUCUCCCCUUGAGCAAGUCACUUGGAAUGGAGGGGAGUCACCGCUCUUCAGACCCACUGGAAGGCAGGGGGUUCCCUCUUCCCCAUACCCCUUCGAGGCCACCCUCUGUGGGGCUGAGGUCACCGUAACAGAACGGAGCUCUUCAGAUCUCUUCCGCUCCUCAGAAAAGACCACUCCCCGUGGCCCUGACCCCACUGGUGCACACAGCCAAUGCCUUUUAGGUCACUGGCAUGCAGCUCUUCAACGGAGUUGUGGCAACAGCUCCCUGUGCUUUUUUUCACUAAAGUGUUACUGUUUGCUAUA